UACGGAGGAUGCGAGCGUUAUCCGGAUUCAUUGGGUUUAAAGGGUGCGCAGGCGGGAGAUUAAGUCGGCGGUGAAAUUUUGCAGCUCAACUGUAAAAGUGCCUUCGAUACUGGUUUCCUUGAGUGUGGAUGAAGUAGGCGGAAUUUGUGGUGUAGCGGUGAAAUGCUUAGAUAUCACGAGGAACUCCGAUUGCGCAGGCAGCUUACUAAACCACUACUGACGCUCAGGCACGAAGGCGUGGGGAUCAAACAGGAUUAGAUACCCGGGUA
rnacentral:rRNA from 1 species